GCGGCCUAUCAGCUUGUUGGAGGGGUAACGGCCCACCAAGGCAACGACGGGUAGCUGGUCUGAGAGGAUGGUCAGCCACACUGGGACUGAGACACGGCCCAGACUCCUACGGGAGGCAGCAGUGGGGAAUAUUGGGCAAUGGAGGAAACUCUGACCCAGCGACGCCGCGUGCGGGAUGAAGGCCUUCGGGUUGUAAACCGCUUUCAGUAGGGAAGAAGCGAAAGUGACGGUACCUACAAAAGAAGCACCGGCUAACUAUGUGCCAGCAGCCGCGGUAAUACAUAGGGUGCAAGCGUUGUCCGGAAUUAUUGGGCGUAAAGAGCUCGUAGGUCGUUUGUUACGUCGGAUGUGAAAACCUGAGGCUCAACCUCAGGCCUGCAUUCGAUACGGGCAAACUAGAGUUUGGUAGGGGAGACUGGAAUUCCU
rnacentral:rRNA from 1 species